CCUACGGGAGGCAGCAGUGAGGAAUAUUGGUCAAUGGUCGCGAGCCUGAACCAGCCAAGCCGCGUGAAGGAUGACUGUACUACGGGUCGUAAACCUCUUUUGUCAAGGAAUAAAGUCAGGGACGUGUGCCCUUAUGUAUGUAUCUUAUGAAUAAGCAUCGGCUAACUCCGUGCCAGCAGCCGCGGUAAUACGGAGGAUGCGAGCGUUAUCCGGAUUUAUUGGGUUUAAAGGGUGCGCAGGCGGUAGAUCAAGUCAGCGGUAAAAUUGAGAGGCUCAACCUCUUCGAGCCGUUGAAACUGGUUUUCUUGAGUGGGCGAGAAGUAUGCGGAAUGCGUGGGGUAGCGGUGAAAUGCAUAGAUAUCACGCAGAACUCCGAUUGCGAAGGCAGCAUACCGGCGCUCAACUGACGCUCAUGCACGAAAGUGUGGGUAUCGAACAGGAUUAGAUACCCGAGUAGUC
rnacentral:rRNA from 1 species